GAUCGAACUCGGGUCCUUGUGCUUGCGCAGCAGGCGGUGUAAUCACUGAGCUAAAUCCUCGCCCCCCUGCCCAUUGCUUUUUAAUAACUGUCAUCCUCUCUUCUGUCCCAACAUACGAUAACCUUGCUUUUCAGCUGCACUUUGUCAGCAUCCUCUGUCCUCAGGCUGUGGUAGUUGGGAGCAACCAGAAUCGUACCCUUGGCGGUAUCACGGGAAGUGAUUUAUGGGAAUGGGAACUGUCCUCGCCAUAUAUUUUGUUGGAUUUCUGCACUCUGCCUCUCUUUUUGCAUUAUGGUUUUUCUGCUUAUAUCGGACACUAAGGGUCCCACUUGGUGUAUACAUCUCCUGGCAAUGGCUAGAGCAGUCUAAUUCUGCAGGUUUUGAAUGAACUUCCUGCUCUGCAUGCCAAAAUUCCUCCGACCCGUCUCCUGUAGAGUGUGCGUGCGUGGCGUGCGUGCGUGACAUGCGUGGCGUGCGUGCGUGUGUGUGUGUGUGUGUGUGUGUGUGUUGGGGAAGGAGGAGAAAAGGGAUGUUUCUGGAGAGACUGCAAUGACUCAAAGCAUGUUGGAGCUGGAAGGCACCCUAAGCAUCACCUAGUUGGGGAUUUUCCAUCAGCCUUUAAGAGAAUCUUAAAAGUAUGUCAGAGGCAUUUCAAGAGGCUGCAGUACCAAGAUGGAGCUGCUAAGUAACGGUGUGUGUUGGGGACUUUCCUGCUUCCCAGGCCACUAGAAAUUCAGCUGUACCUGUUUUUCAAACUGGCCCCAUAUUUUCAUUUUAUAAGCUAGGUAAUAGGGGUGGAAUAACUUGUUAAUUGGGUGUCAUUUUACCUUGCUAAUCCUCUUAGAUGUCUUCUUCAUGACCUUUUCACAGUGAUUUUUCAUGUCUUUUCUGUUUGUCUAAUUCUCUGUCUCCAUUUAGCACCCUAACACCCUCUUCAUCAUUCCUAUCUGCCAUUUUUUCCAGAAAGAAUUGGGGCCUCUGGCAUGUGUGCUCUUGCAGCCUCUCUCCUUAUCACUGUCUUCAUUUCCCCUCUCCUUCCAGUCUCUGGAGAAAGUGUCCCUCGUCUUCCUCUCUUUCCAUUCCUAACCUUUCCACUUGUGCCUACAAUUCCACUUCUUCCCACCGCCCAAGAUCUUGUCUCAAUUUGGACUUCUGUAUUCAAUCUUUUCAUAUUAUCCAGAGAUUUUUCUCUUUGCCAAUAAACAACUUCAGGUCUUCCCAUUAAUGCACACAAAACAAACAUAACAACAAACAGUCUCUUUAAAUUUGCUGGUUACCCAUUGCAUGUGAAUUGAGUAUAAACUUCUUGAUUCAGCCAACUUCUACUUUUUUAUUAUUCCUUUUACAUGUACCACAGAUACCAAUAGGUUGUUUUUAGUUUCUGAAUACACCAGGCAUAUUUUCUUUACUUAUUCCCUUCCUGGUGUCUUCUGCUCUUUUGACUGUUGUUGUCCUUCAAAGCCUAUCAUGGGCUAUUUCUUCUAUGAAGCCCCUCUGGCUUUCCAAGAGUAGCUGUAAUCCAGCCCUCCUUUAAAUGCUCACAGUACUGUUUCUUAUUUACAGGGUCUUAGCCUUCUUUUAUCUGCCUGACAGCUCCUCAAGAAGGAGGAAAUUAGGACACAAGUGCACACAGGGGAAGACCACAUGAAGACACAGAGGUGAGAAGAAGCCGUCUGCAAGCCAAUGAGCGAGACCUUACAAGAAGCCAACCCUGCUGACAACAUGAAUCAGUCUAGAUUUGGAAUUGUGAAAAAUACAUUUCUGUUGUUUAAGCCCCUCA